rnacentral:rRNA from 1 species
AACGAACGCUGGCGGCAUGCCUAACACAUGCAAGUCGAACGAGAACUUCGGGUCUAGUGGCGCAUGGGUGCGUAACGCGUGGGAACCUGCCCUUAGGUUCGGAAUAACUCCCCGAAAGGGGUGCUAAUACCGGAUAAUGUCUUCGGACCAAAGAUUUAUCGCCUUUGGAUGGGCCCGCGUUGGAUUAGCUGGUUGGUAGGGUAAAAGCCUACCAAGGCGACGAUCCAUAGGUGGGCUGAGAGGAUGAUCAGCCACACUUGGACUAAGACACGGCCCAGACUCCUACGCAAGGCAGCAGUGGGGAAUAUUGGACAAUGGGCGAAGGCCUGAUCCAGCACUGCCGCGUAAGUGAUGAUGGCCUUAGGGUUGUAAAGCUCUUUUACCCGGGAUGAUAAUGACGGUACCGGGAGAAUAAGCUCCGGCUAACUACGUG